AGCUACAUAGCUCAGGGGAAGAGCGCCGGGCUCAUAACCCGGAGGUCGCUGGAUCGAAACCAGUUGUAGCUA
rfam:Valsa mali var. pyri strain SXYL134 unplaced genomic scaffold scaffold00175, whole genome shotgun sequence.